rnacentral:rRNA from 7 species
CCCAGACAGCCAGGAUGUUGGCUUAGAAGCAGCCAUCAUUUAAAGAAAGCGUAAUAGCUCACUGGUCGAGUCGGCCUGCGCGGAAGAUGUAACGGGGCUAAACCAUGCACCGAAGCUGCGGCAGCGACACUGUGUGUUGUUGGGUAGGGGAGCGUUCUGUAAGCCUGUGAAGGUGUGUCGUGAGGCAUGCUGGAGGUAUCAGAAGUGCGAAUGCUGACAUAAGUAACGAUAAAGCGGGUGAAAAGCCCGCUCGCCGGAAGACCAA